rnacentral:rRNA from 1 species
ACAAAAACAUUGCUUCUUGUUCUCCCAUAAGAAGUAAUUCCUGCCCAGUGAACUCAUUUCAACGGCCGCGGUAUCCUAACCGUGCAAAGGUAGCAUAAUCACUUGCCCAUUAAUUGUGGGCUAGAAUGAAAGGACCAACGAAAUAAAAACUGUCUCUAUAAGUAACAUAAAAAUUAAUCUCUAACUGAAGAUUGUUAGAUAGCAUCGAAGGACAAGAAGACCCUAUAGAGCUUUAUUUUUACAAAUAACUAAAAUUUAUAUAAAUUCGGUUGGGGCGACCGGGGAAGCUAUCAUCCCCUAAUAACAGAUAAAUAAAUCACAUACUUGACCCUUUCUAAGAUCAUUAAAACAAGCUACCUUAGGGAUAACAGGCUAAUCCCGCUAAAGAGUCCUUAUCAAUAGCUGGGUUUGGCACCUCGAUGUUGGCUUAGGGAAUCUAUAUGGCGCAAAAGUCAUAUAAAGA